GGGCCAGUGGCGCAACGGAAUAACGCGCCUGACUACGGAUCGGGAGUUUCCCAGGUUCGAAUCUUCUGGCUGGUGCU